rnacentral:rRNA from 1 species
UUGGAGGGCAAGUCUGGUGCCAGCAGCCGCGGUAAUUCCAGCUCCAAUAGCGUAUAUUAAAGUUGUUGCAGUUAAAAAGCUCGUAGUUGAAUUUCGGGGUCAGUAGAUUGGUCAUGCCACUGGUAUGUACUGGUCUCACUGAUUCCUCCUUCCUGAUGAGCCGUAAUGCCAUUAAUUUGGUGUUGCGGGGAAUCUGGACUGUUACUUUGAAAAAAUUAGAGUGUUUAAAGCAGGCUAACGCUUGAAUACAUUAGCAUGGAAUAAUGAAAUAGGACGUUCGAUCUUAUUUUGUUGGUUUCUAAGAUUGACGUAAUGAUUAAUAGGGAUAGUUGGGGGCAUUAGUAUUCAAUUGUCAGAGGUGAAAUUCUUGGAUUUAUUGAAGACUAACUACUGCGAAAGCAUUUGCCAAGGAUGUUUUCAUUAAUCAAGAACGAAAGUUAGGGGAUCGAAGACGAUCAGAUACCGUCGUAGUCUUAACCAUAAACUAUGCCGACUAGGGAUCGGAUGAUGUUAAUUUUUUAAUGACUCAUUCGGCGCCUUACGGGAAAC